UUAUUUUUCUUGAAUUUUGCAUGCGGGAGGCAUUUGAAUUGUUAUUUCUUCCCCCUAUCGUAUUGAGAAGUCGGUGAAUUUCUGUUUAUCUAAAUUUUGGGUCCUUGGCAGGGGAAAAGCAAACCAUUGAAUGGGUCAUGUGUUUGAGAGUAGCUCUGUCUAUUGUUGAAGCCUUGGAUUAUUGCAGCACUAAGGGACGUCCAUUGCACCAUGAUUUGAAUGCUUAUAGGGUUCUCUUUCAUGGGGAUGGUGAUCCUCGGGUCUCAUGUUUUGGCUUCAUGAAAAAUAGUAGGGAUGGGAAAAAUUACAGCACAAACCUUGCCUACACACCUCCCAAAUAUUUAAGAAAUGGUAAUAAAUUCACCACUCUGUAUAAGUUGGAUGAUUGGUAUUCUACUUCUUUAUGUGUUAAAGGAUUUGCCUGUAUUCAGUAUCUCUGGAACUUUCAGUAAACUGAUCCCCAACAAACCAAAAAAAAAAAAAAGUCACAUUUUUUUUUUAAGUUGGUAGAUAAAA